rnacentral:rRNA from 1 species
AGCGAACGCUGGCGGCAGGCCUAACACAUGCAAGUCGAACGAAGUCUUCGGACUUAGUGGCGGACGGGUGAGUAACACGUGGGAACGUGCCUUUAGGUUCGGAAUAGCUCAGGGAAACUUGUGCUAAUACCGAAUGUGCCCUUCGGGGGAAAGAUUUAUCGCCUUUAGAGCGGCCCGCGUCUGAUUAGCUAGUUGGUGAGGUAAAGGCUCACCAAGGCUACGAUCAGUAGCUGGUCUGAGAGGAUGACCAGCCACAUUGGGACUGAGACACGGCCCAAACUCCUACGGGAGGCAGCAGUGGGGAAUCUUGCGCAAUGGGCGAAAGCCUGACGCAGCGAUGCCGCGUGGAUGAUGAAGGUCUUAGGAUUGUAAAAUCCUUUCACCGGUGAAGAUAAUGACUGUAGCCGGAGAAGAAGCCCCGGCUAACUUCGUGCCAGCAGCCGCAGUAACAC